UACGAAGGGAGCUAGCGUUGUUCGGAAUCACUGGGCGUAAAGCGCACGUAGGCGGCUGUGUCAGUCAGGGGUGAAAUCCCGGAGCUCAACUUCGGAACUGCCCUUGAUACAGCACGUCUUGAGUCCGGAAGAGGUGGGUGGAAUUCCUAGUGUAGAGGUGAAGUUCGUAGAUAUUAGGAAGAACACCGGUGGCGAAGGCGGCCCACUGGUCCGGUACUGACGCUGAGGUGCGAAAGCGUGGGGAGCAAACAGG
rnacentral:rRNA from 1 species